GGAUGGAUCAUUCUUAGUGCUUGAAUCAUUCUGUAAGAUUGUAAGAUCAAUUUAGGUUUGGACUAUUGAUUGAAAAGUCUCCAAGCGAUGGCUGACUUGGUCCUCAUAACGAAUAAGGACGCAGCCAACUGCGAUAAGUAGUAUGAUAUGCGAAGUUUCGAGAAUACAUAAUUUCUGAAUGCUGUUGCACCUAGCCCUGGUGGCUGGGUCCGGAGUCGUCGGGUAUUGAAUUUCGUCAACACGGUUCAAGUGAACUCUAUCGAUUGAGAGUGGCAUGAACACACCAAUUCUAGACCAAACAUAAAAUUAAGCUAGACAGUGUAAUCGUGUUUGUCCGACAACUGCGGGAUUACCCGCCGAAUUUAAGCAUAUAACUAAGCGGAGGAUAAGAAAGUAACUAUGAUUCCCUCAGUAGUGGCGAACGAAGUGGGAUGUGUUCAAAGUGAUAAUCUGGCCUUAGUCAGAGAUGUUCAUUGUCGAUGGUUUGACGUGACUGACCAACGAAGUGCAUGAAAGUGCAUCUCAUAGAGGGUGAUGAGCCUGUCGUUGAAUGUGUUUGUUUAGUCUCAUACGCGACAUUCAGAGUAUCGUUCUUUGAGAGUAGAGCGUGAAUAGGGAUUAACUUUUCCCUCAAACUAAGUACCUUUGAGUGACCGACAGCGAACAAGUACCGUGAGGGAAAGUUGAAAAGCACUCCGAAAGGAGGGUUAAAUAUCUAAAAUCGCUUGGGGUGAAGUAAUUACACAACCGUUGACUUGCCAUUCUUUCUGGCGGUCAAGCACUCGUUGUGGAAACGAACGACACUUUUCACUUUUCUGAUUAAAAGAGAACUCAGAUGAUGUCGCGUCCGCAGUGGAGCUUGCAAAGGAUGUGAAACUGGCCCGUCUUGAAACACGGACCGAGGAGUUGUACAUAAGUGCAAGUAUAAGGGUGACACUCCCUUAUGCGCAGUGAAUGCGGAAAUUUGAUUCAACCUGUGGCCGGUCGACCGACUGUGCUUGAGCAUUUCUGUUCAGACCCGAAAGAUGGUGACCUAUACUUGGAUUGGGUGAAGCCAGGGGAAACUCUGGUGGAGGCUCGUAGCGAUACUGACGUGCAAAUCGUUCGUCGAAUUUGAGUAUAGGGGCGAAAGACUAAUCGAACCAUCUAGUAGCUGGUUCCCUU
rnacentral:misc_RNA from 1 species